GUGAAACCACUGCCUGGUUCAAUUUAGUUGUGAUUAAGUGCUGGUUGUAGAUGAGGUGUUUGGGCAGCUGUGCAUUAUAAGGAGUCAUGUCAAACCAGUCUCAAAAGGUCUAUCUGGCCUUUGAAAUAAUAGAAGCCGUUUAUUUCUCAUGUUUGCUCUUCUGCUGUUGCUGUUAUUCAUAGAGAUGGACCAGGGCUGAGCGCAGAAAGAACUGCUAAGGUGCUAUGUUUUUACAUCCCUAGAGUCGCUAGCUACAUGUGACAUACAGUUUGAGGUAAUGCUAAUUGACCUUUCAUCUUCCUCCAAAACUUUCAGCUCCCUGAUUUUUAAACAUCAAUUUUCUGUGCUUUAUAACCAUGUUUCACUAUUGUCAUUUGUAGAGAGGAAGGGAAAAGGAUAAGGUUUUUUCACAGCCACCACCUUGGAGUGUAGGCUAAGCAUUAAGGGAAGCACCUUGGAGAUCCAGCACUAUUUGAUAAAGGUGAUCGUUACUGCAGUAAUAAUCUUGGCUAGAAAUGACAUGUUUUGCAUUGUGCUUUAUGCAGUAAAUUAACAAGUACUAUAUGAUAUUGCAGUUCUCCCAGAACUAGCUUGAAAUCUCUGAUUAAUUAAAAUGUUUUUUCAUGUUACUAGUCUCUCACUUCCUCAUCUAAUUGAGGGAUUCCUUUUGGGUUAGUGUGCGAGUUUCACUGGAUGCUGGGAUGCAAGUGCAUGCUUGAGCUCAGCAGCUAUUUUCCUGAAUUCAAGCCUUCUACUGUAUAUUCUGAAUUCAUGACUGACAACACACAGUGAGGUGAAGAAAACAAAUAACUUGUUUUUUGGGGUUUUUUUUCCUUAAAAAAUGUACUUUCAGGUUAUUCCUAUAACAAUAUACAUUGUUAAUGCUCCUUGUUGAUACAUUUGUUGGUGCAGGAGUUUUUUGAUGCAGCUAUAGCUGUGGGAACCAAGUGAUUCAGCUGUUAAUAAGAGGAUAAAUGCCACUUUUAUUCAAGGUGUACUUCUGCAAAAGGACAGCUGUCUACCACGCUUCUGCUGCAACUAAGAGUGGGAUGUGUGUGGACUCAAAAGGACAGAUGUCACUUACUUACAGACAGGGACCAUUUCUGUGUGGCUCUGUACCUGGUUGGGUUGGUCCUGUAGUGCCUUCUCUAAGAUUUUCAACAGAAUUCAGGACACUUGGUUUGGUAAUCUGCAACUGCUGGAUCUCAGCUCCUGGAUAAUGCAGCUGAAGUCCACCAAAAGGAGCCUUUGUGUACCAGUUUUACAUAAGUCUCAAGGAAUACAUUAACAUGUAAGUAAAAAGCCAGUGAGUUCUCUUUGCUAUGUUGAAUUACCCUCAAAUUAUCUUCCUAAUCUGUAUUGGAAUAGUAUGCUCUGGAUUUGCAAUACAAAUCACAUAGCUAAGAAUAUGGACAGCUGUUCACCCACUAAGGAUGACAUUUCCCCCAGCCUCAACUUUCUACAUCUCAUUAUUUUCCCUGUUUUCUGCUCAGUUCACCUCCUCAUUGAUUGACCAGUGUAGUUUCAUUUCUUCAUAAGCACAAAGAAGUAAAUAUAGUUGCACAAUAGCAUGUAUCAGAUCUGUGUUCCUGUCUUCCACCCCUCUUUUUUUCCCUUAGCGUUGUGCUAAGAAUUGUCCAGCAUUUCCCAAGGCAGCUUCUUAGUCAGAACCACGUCUUUCUCUACCGGAGGUCUCUGACUAGAGAAACUUGAAACACUCUUCUCGGGUAAUCUUCUCAUUGUAGUAAAAGCACAGGAAGGUGUCAGCAAAUUAGCUCUGCUAAGCUCCUGCACUUUUGAUGGGAUGGUUGGAUUUAAUCUGUUGGUGUUUGGAAGUGUUGGCUGCUCAGCCCAAUAAUUUUUUUUUUUUUUUUUACCUUUUUUGCCCUCAUUCUUAACUUGCAUAAAGUUACCCUUAGCCACUUUCUCUUCUUUUUCCUCUGUGUUUGUGGUAACUGGUCAUUAAAGCCUGUGCUUAUAAUAGCUGUACCACAGGACAGGAGAUUUCGUUUCCCAUCUUGCUUUCCAGGGUGUGGCAAAGCUAGCACACACUCCACCCGGCCAUGGCAGUGGUGCUGUGGGAUUUGAAGUGUUCACUAAGUUGAGGUUUAACCUGAUUUUUUUGUUGUUCUUCUGGUCUAUCUACAAAAGAGCUUCCAUGCUUGCCUAUGGGAAAGAGGUAGAACUGGGAUUCCUCCUUCGAGAGAGAUGGGACUGAUGUUUGAAGAGGAAAAAUAUAUGUUAUGUUUUUCUUCCCUUGACCUAUGCAAACAUUGAGAACUGAGAUACUUCUCGUAGCUUUUGAGAACUAUGUAAACUCCCCUUUCUUGCAGAGGAGCAUGAGUCUUUUUGGAUGAUCUGAAUCUUUGCCAUCAUUUGGAGCAGAGUGAAGCUCUGUGAAAGGAUAGUAACUGAAAGCCAACUGGAUUGUAAUUAGCUCGGGCAUCGCAGGAAGCAGCUGAUGCAUAUGGUUUGUGUUGGAAGUAAGGCAGACAGAAGGAUUAUGACUCAGUGGUAAAGAGGCCCUGGCCUGGUGGCCGUACUCUGACCCAAAGGUGUUUUCUAGGCUUGCUGCUGUGAGGGGCCAGGGGUAGCUAGUGGCUGCACAUACACACAUCACUACAUAAAACACAAAGGCUCUAGAGAGCACACGUGACUUCUCCUUUGUCAGAGGGUGUUAAUUUUGCAGUGAUGUCGGCAUACUGCUGCCCCAGCAAUAUGAAGUCUAGCUCCAUCUUUCUUCCAUAGUAAUCAGUGCAAACAUGCCCUAGUCUUAAAGCAUGGUACUUUGGGAAUGAAAAGCUUAAUCAUUUUCCUUGGCUUUUUUCUUUUUAUGAGGUAUAGGGUGCUUAGAGCUAUAGAAGCAGUGCAAGCAAAAUAUUAAUGGAUAGCCAUGCAGCGCAGACAUUAAUGCAUUCCUUUCCCUUGAAACAACUGGCUUUUCUCUGUUGGCUCCGUAAAAUAAAAAUGUCUGCAGAGUCUGAAUCUGUUGUUUAGAAGCCAAAAUAGAUCGAGAUUUAGAAACUUUGCUGGCCUAUAUUGCUGAAAUGUUACCACUGCAUUUAUCAUGUGGCAAAAAUAAAAUCUUUUUUUUCUCUA